UCUACGGGUGGCUGCAGUGGGGAAUAUUGGACAAUGGGGGCAACCCUGAUCCAGCCAUGCCGCGUGUGUGAAGAAGGCCCUCGGGUUGUAAAGCACUUUCAGUGAGGAAGAACGCCUGGUGGUUAAUACCCAUCAGGAAAGACAUCACUCACAGAAGAAGCACCGGCUAACUCCGUGCCAGCAGCCGCGGUAAUACGGAGGGUGCGAGCGUUAAUCGGAAUUACUGGGCGUAAAGCGCGCGUAGGUGGCUUGAUAAGCCGGUUGUGAAAGCCCCGGGCUCAACCUGGGAACGGCAUCCGGAACUGUCAAGCUAGAGUGCAGGAGAGGAAGGUAGAAUUCCCGGUGUAGCGGUGAAAUGCGUAGAGAUCGGGAGGAAUACCAGUGGCGAAGGCGGCCUUCUGGACUGACACUGACACUGAGGUGCGAAAGCGUGGGUAGCAAACAGGAUUAGAUACCCCUGUAGUC
rnacentral:rRNA from 1 species